rnacentral:misc_RNA from 1 species
AAGUCGUAACAAGGUUUCCGUAGGUGAACCUGCGGAAGGAUCAUUAACACGUAUCCAAACGUUAAACCCCCGUGAACUUUCAGUCCUGCUCUUGUAGCUUGUGUGUGUAAGCAGCAAUCUCGGUAAAUCAAGUGGGAGGAAAGUUCUGAUUCGAGACCUCUGCACCAUGUGGGUUACAAUUGAGCGGUAGAAGCAGUGGCAUGGCGUCCCAAGCCUCCAAGUGAAUGUCAGUGUCAUUUUGGAACAAGUGAGGGAUAACGCUUCUCGGUUGCUAGAGGUCGCUCACUAUCACCCCCGCCUCCUGAUGAAAGUCCGAGGCAAAAAAAACCGAACAACUGUUAACAAUGGAUAUCUUGGUUCUC